AGUGAACGCUGGCGGUAGGCCUAACACAUGCAAGUCGAACGGCAGCACAGUAAGAGCUUGCUCUUACGGGUGGCGAGUGGCGGACGGGUGAGGAAUACAUCGGAAUCUACUUUUUCGUGGGGGAUAACGUAGGGAAACUUACGCUAAUACCGCAUACGACCUACGGGUGAAAGCAGGGGAUCUUCGGACCUUGCGCGAUUGAAUGAGCCGAUGUCGGAUUAGCUAGUUGGCGGGGUAAAGGCCCACCAAGGCGACGAUCCGUAGCUGGUCUGAGAGGAUGAUCAGCCACACUGGAACUGAGACACGGUCCAGACUCCUACGGGAGGCAGCAGUGGGGAAUAUUGGACAAUGGGCGCAAGCCUGAUCCAGCCAUACCGCGUGGGUGAAGAAGGCCUUCGGGUUGUAAAGCCCUUUUGUUUGGAAAGAAAAGCAGCAGGUUAAUACCGCGCUGUUCUGACGGUACCCAAAGAAUAAGCACCGGCUAACUUCGUG
rnacentral:rRNA from 1 species